rnacentral:rRNA from 1 species
UACGGAGGAUGCGAGCGUUAUCCGGAUUUAUUGGGUUUAAAGGGUGCGCAGGCGGCCUUUUAAGUCAGCGGUGAAAGUCUGUGGCUCAACCAUAGAAUUGCCGUUGAAACUGGGGGGCUUGAGUAUGUUUGAGGCAGGCGGAAUGCGUGGUGUAGCGGUGAAAUGCGUAGAUAUCAGGAGGAACACCGGCGGCGAAGGCGGCUUACUGGACGGCAACUGACGUUGAGGCCCGAAAGCGUGGGGAGCGAACAGG